UCAUGUUGAAGAUCUUCAAGAAGAAAACAUCUCCCAAAGGUAUUUUAGAUUUGAUUCCAUCGUUGCUUUCUUGCUCUCUUUUUUCUUUUUCCUGCAUUUUACGGUCAUUCUCUAAUUGCUCACUUCCUCUGUUAUGUGGUCUUUGGUUUGUGGCACAACAUCAUGUAUGAUAUGUGGUUCAGGAGAAAUUGAAGGAGCCUUAUUGAAAUACUUGGGGGUUGAGCACAAUGAGGUAACAAAGGACGGUUUAUUCUCUGUUGGAGAAAUGGAAUGUAUGGGAUGUUGUGUAAAUGCUCCUAUGAUUGCAGUUGCUGAUUACACCAAUGAAUAUGAAGGAUAUACGUAUAAUUACUAUGUGG